GAACGUGCGGAAGGAUCAUUU
rnacentral:rRNA from 1 species